AAUAAGCGGAGGAAAAGAAACCAACAGGGAUUGCCCUAGUAACGGCGAGUGAAGCGGCAACAGCUCAAAUUUGAAAUCUGGCCCUAGGCCCGAGUUGUAAUUUGUAGAGGAUGCUUUUGGUGCGGUACUUUCCGAGUUCCCUGGAACGGGACGCCUUAGAGGGUGAGAGCCCCGUACGGUUGGAUACCUAGCCUCUGUAAAGCUCCUUCGACGAGUCGAGUAGUUUGGGAAUGCUGCUCAAAAUGGGAGGUAAAUUUCUUCUAAAGCUAAAUACCGGCCAGAGACCGAUAGCGCACAAGUAGAGUGAUCGAAAGAUGAAAAGCACUUUGAAAAGAGGGUUAAAUAGCACGUGAAAUUGUUGAAAGGGAAGGACUUAUGACCAGACUUUUUCUAGGCGGAUCAUCCGGUGUUCUCACCGGUGCACUUCGCCUAGUUAAGGCCAGCAUCGGUUUCUCUAGGGGGAUAAAAGCAGUAGGAAUGUGGCUCCUCCGGGAGUGUUAUAGCCUAUUGUAUAAUACCUUUAGGGGGACCGAGGUUCGCGCUUCGGCAAGGAUGCUGGCAUAAUGGUCAUCAGUCACCCGUCUUGAAACACGGACCAAGGAGUCGAACAUUUAUGCGAGUGUUUGGGUGUUAAACCCUCACGCGUAAUGAAAGUGAACGGAGGUGAGAGCCUUAGGGUGCAUCAUCGACCGAUCCUGAAGUCUUCGGAUGGAUUUGAGUAAGAGCAUAACUGUUCGGACCCGAAAGAUGGUGAACUAUGCGUGGAUAGGGUGAAGCCAGAGGAAACUCUGGUGGAGGCUCGCAGCGGUUCUGACGUGCAAAUCGAUCGUCAAAUCUGCGCAUGGGGGCGAAA
rnacentral:rRNA from 1 species